AUUUAUUUUUUUAUCAAAGAGACAAUUUAGCGGCAAUCGUUGCGCCGAUUUAGGAACAAUGUGCCCACACAAAUACUUAAAGCUGGGUAUGUCACGAUAAUCAGUCGUGCAACAGAGCUCUCUGGGGGUGGUAAGGGGCGAUAUAAAUGGGUAAUUCCAAUUAGGCGCAGAUGCAUCACCUUUGGAGUUUCCCUCACCGUUUGCACUCUAAAGUGAAGCUCGGCGUAAGUGCCUAUGUAUG